GCCAGACUCCUACGGGAGGCAGCAGUGGGGAAUAUUGCACAAUGGGGGAAACCCUGAUGCAGCGACGCCGCGUGAGUGGAGAAGUAUUUCGGUAUGUAAAGCUCUAUCAGCAGGGAAGAAAAUGACGGUACCUGAUUAAGAAGCCCCGGCUAACUACGUGUCAGCAGCCGCGGUAAUACGUAGGGGGCAAGCGUUAUCCGGAUUUACUGGGUGUAAAGGGAGCGUAGACGGUGAUGCAAGUCAGAAGUGAAAGCCCGGGGCUCAACUCCGGGACUGCUUUGGAAACUGUGCAGCUCGAGUGCAGGAGAGGUAAGCGGAAUUCCUAGUGUAGCGGUGAAAUGCGUAGAUAUUAGGAGGAACACCAGUGGCGAAGGCGGCUUACUGGACUGUAACUGACGUUGAGGCUCGAAAGCGUGGGGAGCAAACAGGAUUAGAUACCCCAGUA
rnacentral:rRNA from 1 species